rnacentral:rRNA from 1 species
UGGCUCAGGAUGAACGCUGGCGGCGUGCCUAAUACAUGCAAGUCGAGCGAACAGACAAGGAGCUUGCUCCUUUGACGUUAGCGGCGGACGGGUGAGUAACACGUGGGUAACCUACCUAUAAGACUGGGAUAACUUCGGGAAACCGGAGCUAAUACCGGAUAAUAUUUCGAACCGCAUGGUUCGAUAGUGAAAGAUGGUUUUGCUAUCACUUAUAGAUGGACCCGCGCCGUAUUAGCUAGUUGGUAAGGUAACGGCUUACCAAGGCGACGAUACGUAGCCGACCUGAGAGGGUGAUCGGCCACACUGGAACUGAGACACGGUCCAGACUCCUACGGGAGGCAGCAGUAGGGAAUCUUCCGCAAUGGGCGAAAGCCUGACGGAGCAACGCCGCGUGAGUGAUGAAGGUCUUCGGAUCGUAAAACUCUGUUAUUAGGGAAGAACAUACGUGUAAGUAACUAUGCACGUCUUGACGGUACCUAAUCAGAAAGCCACGGCUAACUACGUGCCAGCAGCCGCGGUAAUACGUAGGUGGCAAGCGUUAUCCGGAAUUAUUGGGCGUAAAGCGCGCGUAGGCGGUUUUUUAAGUCUGAUGUGAAAGCCCACGGCUCAACCGUGGAGGGUCAUUGGAAACUGUAAAACUUGAGUGCAGAAGAGGAAAGUGGAAUUCCAUGUGUAGCGGUGAAAUGCGCAGAGAUAUGGAGGAACACCAGUGGCGAAGGCGACUUUCUGGUCUGUAACUGACGCUGAUGUGCGAAAGCGUGGGGAUCAAACAGGAUUAGAUACCCUGGUAGUCCACGCCGUAAACGAUGAGUGCUAAGUGUUAGGGGGUUUCCGCCCCUUAGUGCUGCAGCUAACGCAUUAAGCACUCCGCCUGGGGAGUACGACCGCAAGGUUGAAACUCAAAGGAAUUGACGGGGACCCGCACAAGCGGUGGAGCAUGUGGUUUAAUUCGAAGCAACGCGAAGAACCUUACCAAAUCUUGACAUCCUUUGACAACUCUAGAGAUAGAGCCUUCCCCUUCGGGGGACAAAGUGACAGGUGGUGCAUGGUUGUCGUCAGCUCGUGUCGUGAGAUGUUGGGUUAAGUCCCGCAACGAGCGCAACCCUUAAGCUUAGUUGCCAUCAUUAAGUUGGGCACUCUAAGUUGACUGCCGGUGACAAACCGGAGGAAGGUGGGGAUGACGUCAAAUCAUCAUGCCCCUUAUGAUUUGGGCUACACACGUGCUACAAUGGACAAUACAAAGGGCAGCGAAACCGCGAGGUCAAGCAAAUCCCAUAAAGUUGUUCUCAGUUCGGAUUGUAGUCUGCAACUCGACUACAUGAAGCUGGAAUCGCUAGUAAUCGUAGAUCAGCAUGCUACGGUGAAUACGUUCCCGGGUCUUGUACACACCGCCCGUCACACCACGAGAGUUUGUAACACCCGAAGCCGGUGGAGUAACCAUUUGGAGCUAGCCGUCGAAGGUGGGACAAAUGAUUGGGGUGAAGUC